rnacentral:rRNA from 1 species
CGUAGGGUGCAAGCGUUAAUCGGGAUUACUGGGCGUAAAGCGUGCGCAGGCGGUUAUGCAAGACAGAUGUGAAAUCCCCGGGCUCAACCUGGGAACUGCAUUUGUGACUGCAUAGCUAGAGUACGGUAGAGGGGGAUGGAAUUCCGCGUGUAGCAGUGAAAUGCGUAGAUAUGCGGAGGAACACCGAUGGCGAAGGCAAUCCCCUGGACCUGUACUGACGCUCAUGCACGAAAGCGUGGGGAGCAAACAGGAUUAGAUACCCUGGUAGUCCACGCCCUAAACGAUGUCAACUGGUUGUUGGGAGGGUUUCUUCUCAGUAACGUAGCUAACGCGUGAAGUUGACCGCCUGGGGAGUACGGCCGCAAGGUUG